rnacentral:lncRNA from 1 species
CAUUAAAUAAGAGUCAGUAAUGAAAACAAUAGCAAGGAACUGCUGGAGGACACAGAGCUGGAAUAAUGAAGAGGGAACAGCCAGAGAUGUCAAAUGAACUCUGAAAAUAGAUGUGGCUUAAUGAGUGUGGAGAGGUUGGCUUUAUCCAAACAGGCAGAUUCAACCAGCCUUGAGAGUCAGCUCUCUCCACAAAUUUGACAAAGGGAGACAAAAUGGCUGCUGUUGAACAAUGGUGGACUCAAAUUCUUUCUUGACCUUAGUGCACAGUUCCUUCUCCAUCACAGAAGCUCCUCUGGAACCCACACCAACCCCUACAAGAGAAGAUCUGGCUGUUUGGCUCAGGGCCCAAGGUGAGCACUGAAUUGUAGAAUUUGAAGACUAGAGGACCUUAAUUAAGCAAAAGCAUAUUAACUUCUCUGAGGAUAAUUCAUCGUCUGUAAAAAGGAACAGAGAACACUGAUGGGCUUUCCUCAGAGAUACUGUAAGUAUUGUUAAUACUAACAGGUGUCAUUUAUGAAGUA